rnacentral:pre_miRNA from 1 species
AUCACCUGGGGAUCUUGUUAAAGGCAGAUUCUGCGUCAGUAGGUUCGGGAUAGACCUGAGAUUUUGUAUUUUCAACAAGCCCUCAGGUGAUGCUGA